rnacentral:tRNA from 1 species
GGAACCAUUUGGUGGAACCAAAUGCCCUGAAACCGUUGUAAAACAUAACACCACACGACACUGGCAGUGUUGAGGUCGACGGUUCGAUCCCGUCUAGCUCCA